GGAAAGGUGGCUCAAAGGAAGAGUGCAUGCCUUGUAUGCAUGAGGCCCUGGGUUCAAUUCCUCACCACCA
rnacentral:tRNA from 1 species